CACAAGAAGGUGAGCUGAAAAAGGAAAAUAUCAGGAGAAGGAGGCCUCCAUUUAUUUUACCAAGUAGAAAAUAGGGUUUCCAAUUAUAACAACUCUUUUUGAAAUCACCCAGAAAUAACGAUCUAUAUUUAUACAUAUGGGACCAUAUCUGUGAUCCCCUUUAUCAGAUGGCGCCACUGGAAUGGAGGACCUAAAGGUCAACAACAAAAUUCCAUUACAGUCUAUUUUUAGUCAUUUGUUAACUUCUGCUUCCUAUCUUUUGACCUCUUACAGCUCCACUUAGUGCUCAUCUUCUCAGCGCUUUUGCGUUCCAUUGGAGGAGCAUAUUCACACUAAAAAAAGACCACUUUCUAGAUUGAGGACAUGCGUCACUCUAGCAUCUGAGGAUCCCACCUUCACUUUGUGAGAGCACAGGGGCUGAGGUUGAAAUGCCUGCAAAACACCCAGGUGGAGAUGUCCAGAAGACAGUUGGAUAUACGGUAUUGAGGAGCAAAAGAGAGGCUGGAGAUAAUGAUCAGAAGUCAUCAGCAUAUAGAUGAUGAUUGAAGCCACAGGAGUGAAUAAGGUUUCCCAGGGAGAGGACCUCAAACAAAACAGGAACAUCUGGAGGAUGUACAGUGGAAGAACACCCAGCAUACACAGAGAUAGUUACAAUUGGUUAGUAUGGCAGAAUGAGACCAAAAUGGUUGAACUGCAACAAAGAGAAACUGGAAAAAGACAGAAAAUGACAGAGAUUCUAGUAAUUGAGGAGUCUAGGGAGGAGGCAGGGGUCAGCAAUGUCCUGCAGCCUUUGGAAAGCAUGAAUGUACCCUAAAAGAUAUCUGACAUAGCUGGAAGGAUCCCAUUUCUGGAACAGAGAAAACUAUUUUCCAAAGACACAUCACUGAACUGACUGUUCUUAACAACAAGGAACCACUGUGGGGGCCCGAGACAAGCAUGGGCAGGGCAGUCUGGA
rnacentral:lncRNA from 1 species